AAACUGAAGAGUUUGAUCAUGGCUCAGAUUGAACGCUGGCGGCAGGCCUAACACAUGCAAGUCGAGCGGCAGCACGGGAAGCUUGCUUCUUGGUGGCGAGCGGCGGACGGGUGAGUAAUGCAUAGGAAUCUGCCCGGUAGUGGGGGAUAACCUGGGGAAACUCAGGCUAAUACCGCAUACGUCCUACGGGAGAAAGCAGGNNNNNNNNNNGCCCCUAGCCGGGUUCGGAGCCGCUCUUUAACAAUCGAUCAGGUAAUUCAUGUGGGCGCUUGUCGAUGACGAGGUGAUCAGUCACCACAUCAUCAAGGCAAGCGACUCGUCNNNNNNNNNNCUGGUGGCGAGCGGCGGACGGGUGAGUAAUGCAUAGGAAUCUGCCCGGUAGUGGGGGAUAACCUGGGGAAACUCAGGCUAAUACCGCAUACGUCCUACGGGAGAAAGCAGGNNNNNNNNNNUGGCUUAAUACGCUAAAGGAAGGACAUCACUCACAGAAGAAGCACCGGCUAACUCCGUGCCAGCAGCCGCGGUAAUACGGAGGGUGCGAGCGUUAAUCGGAAUUACUGGGCGUAAAGCGCGCGUAGNNNNNNNNNNGGAUCUUCGGACCUUGCGCUAUCGGAUGAGCCUAUGCCGGAUUAGCUAGUUGGUGAGGUAAUGGCUCACCAAGGCGACGAUCCGUAGCUGGUCUGAGAGGAUGAUCAGCCACAUCGGGACUGAGACACGGCCCGAACUCCUACGGGAGGCAGCAGUGGGGAAUAUUGGACAAUGGGCGCAAGCCUGAUCCAGCCAUGCCGCGUGUGUGAAGAAGGCCUUCGGGUUGUAAAGCACUUUCAGUGAGGAAGAAGGCCUUCGGCUUAAUACGCUGGAGGAAGGACAUCACUCACAGAAGAAGCACCGGCUAACUCCGUGCCAGCAGCCGCGGUAAUACGGAGGGUGCGAGCGUUAAUCGGAAUUACUGGGCGUAAAGCGCGCGUAGGUGGCUUGAUAAGCCGGUUGUGAAAGCCCUGGGCUCAACCUGGGAACGGCAUCCGGAACUGUCAGGCUAGAGUGCAGGAGAGGAAGGUAGAAUUCCCGGUGUAGCGGUGAAAUGCGUAGAGAUCGGGAGGAAUACCAGUGGCGAAGGCGGCCUUCUGGACUGACACUGACACUGAGGUGCGAAAGCGUGGGUAGCAAACAGGAUUAGAUACCCUGGUAGUCCACGCCGUAAACGAUGUCGACUAGCCGUUGGGAGCCUCGAGUUCUUAGUGGCGCAGUUAACGCGAUAAGUCGACCGCCUGGGGAGUACGGCCGCAAGGUUAAAACUCAAAUGAAUUGACGGGGGCCCGCACAAGCGGUGGAGCAUGUGGUUUAAUUCGAUGCAACGCGAAGAACCUUACCUACCCUUGACAUCUUCGGAAGCCGAGAGAGAUCUUGGUGUGCCUUCGGGAACCGAAAGACAGGUGCUGCAUGGCUGUCGUCAGCUCGUGUUGUGAAAUGUUGGGUUAAGUCCCGUAACGAGCGCAACCCCUGUCCCUAUUUGCCAGCACGUAAUGGUGGGAACUCUAGGGAGACUGCCGGUGACAAACCGGAGGAAGGUGGGGACGACGUCAAGUCAUCAUGGCCCUUACGGGUAGGGCUACACACGUGCUACAAUGGCAGGUACAAAGGGUUGCAAGACGGCGACGUGGAGCUAAUCCCAUAAAGCCUGCCUCAGUCCGGAUCGGAGUCUGCAACUCGACUCCGUGAAGUCGGAAUCGCUAGUAAUCGUGAAUCAGAAUGUCACGGUGAAUACGUUCCCGGGCCUUGUACACACCGCCCGUCACACCAUGGGAGUGGACUGCACCAGAAGUGGUUAGCUUAACCCUCGGGGGAGCGAUCACCACGGUGUGGUUCAUGACUGGGGUGAAGUCGUAACAAGGUAGCCGUAGGGGAACCUGCGGCUGGAUCACCUCCUUA
rnacentral:rRNA from 1 species